ACUACCAUGGCAGUCACGGUAACGGAGAAUAGGGUUCGAUUCCGGAGAGGAGCCUGAGAAACGGCUACCACAUCUACGGAAGGCAGCAGGCGCGUAAAUUACCCAAUCCUGAUUCAGGGAGGUAGUGACAAGAAUAACAACUCGGGGGCCUCACGGCUUACGAGAUUGCAAUGAGAACAAUUUAAAUCUCUUAGCGAGGAACAAUUGGAGGGCAAGUCUGGUGCCAGCAGCCGCGGUAAUUCCAGCUCCAAUAGCGUAUAUUAAAGUUGUUGCAGUUAAAAAGCUCGUAGUUGAAUUUCUGAUUAUGGAUGUAGCGGUUUCCGUUACAUUUGUAGUCAUCCACAUGAGAACCUUUCUCGGCCUUCACUGGUCGGUUGGGGGAUCAUGUACUUUACUUUGAAAAAAUCAGAGUGUUUCAGGCAGGCGUUUGCAUGAAUACACAAGCAUGGAAUAAUGGAAUAGGACUAGGGUCCAUUUUAUUGGUUAUUGGACCAUAGUAAUGAUUAAUAGGGACAGUUGGGGGGCG
rnacentral:rRNA from 1 species